UGUGGGUUGUAAACCUCUUUUCUCAGGGAAGAAGUUCUGACGGUACCUGAGGAAUCAGCAUCGGCUAACUCCGUGCCAGCAGCCGCGGUAAGACGGAGGAUGCAAGCGUUAUCCGGAAUUAUUGGGCGUAAAGCGUCCGUAGGUGGUUAUAAAAGUCUGUUGUUAAAGCUCACAGCUCAACUGUGAAUCGGCAAUGGAAACUGUAUGACUAGAGUGUGGUAGGGGUAGAGGGAAUUCCUAGUGUAGCGGUGAAAUGCGUAGAUAUUAGGAAGAACACCAGUGGCGAAGGCGCUCUACUGGGCCAUAACUGACACUGAUGGACGAAAGCUAGGGGAGCGAAAGGGAUUAGAUACCCCUGUAGUCCUAGCUGUAAACGAUGGACACUAGGUGUUGGCCGUAUCGACCCGGUCAGUAUCGAAGCAAACGCGUUAAGUGUCCCGCCUGGGGAGUACGCACGCAAGUGUGAAACUCAAAGGAAUUGACGGGGGCCCGCACAAGCGGUGGAGUAUGUGGUUUAAUUCGAUGCAACGCGAAGAACCUUACCAGGGAUUGACAUCCUACGAAUCUUCUUGAAAGAGAAGAGUGCCUUCGGGAACGUAGAGACAGGUGGUGCAUGGCUGUCGUCAGCUCGUGUCG
rnacentral:rRNA from 1 species